ACUGCAAUUUCAGCAUUCAAGAGUCUAAGGUAGGAGACUGGAGAGAGCAGGCUCAGUGACUGCUCUACCAGAGCUGAAUUCAAUUCCCAGUAACCAUGUGGUGUCUCACAACCAUAUGUAAUGGGAUCUAAUGCCCUCUUCUGGUGUGUCUGACCAGUCAGCAACCAUGCAGAUAUAUUUUAUUAUAUAUAUAUAUAUAUAGAAUUGGAGGUAUGAGGAUUGUCAAGGGUUUGACACCAGCCUAGUAGCAAUUUCUUUUCCUCAAAACAACCAUUAAUUUGUAUAAAAAAACCAGUCUAGUACCUUUGCAAGGACACAGCAAUUUUGAAGAGUUGACAUGGCCCAUGUAGCCCACAAAAGACUAGAAAUAAACACAUAUUGGGGUUGGGGAUUUAGCUCAGCGGUAGAGCAUCUGCCUAGCAAGCGCAAGGCUCUGGGUUCGGUCCCCAGCUCCGAAAAAAAGAAGAAAAAAAAAAAAAAGAAAUAAACACAUAUUUAUGUUUGGCAUUUCUUAGGAAAAUUUGAUUUACAAAGCAAAAAAACAACAAAAAAAAAAAGACUAGUAACAGUUUCUGUUACCUGCAAAUGGUAGGUGGAUCUUAAGUUAUAUUUGCCACAUCCUUUUAUGUGUAUUCUCAAGACUUUAUUCAAAAAUAUCUUUAGCAUUUUCUUUUGAAAAUAGUAUAAAGGUCAUGAAGCCACACCCAGUACAAACCUGUAUCUGAACCUCUUGGGAGAAGGAUGCUCUCCAUUUUCACUCAGUUUCCAUAACAUAUGAUGGAAACAUAAUCACUGUCUGGUUUCUGAGCCCACUACCACCUGCUUGCUCCUCACCUGUGGUCCCAUAAACGUUUAAAGCCUCAAAGAUAUGUAUGUAACCUUCAGGCAGGAAAAAAAAAGUUUCUUCAGCUAGAGUCAUUGGGCUGGGAAGCCUGGAACCUUCUAGCUUCAACAAAUGAGCGCCAAGUGUCCAGACAUUACAAGGAAACGGCUGACUGAGACCAGUAAGGGUAAAUCUGGGUUACCUCUUCAUGUAAUUUAAUCAUCUAAAUAAUCUGGACCUGCAUAGUCGUCACUAUGGUGAUGAUUCUAGAAAAUCACCUAGGUAGUUUGGAGAUAAUUCUUUUUUUCUCACCCCACCCCCUGGAGAUAAUUCUUAAGAGGAUAAUUUUUAACACUGAAGUACUAAAUGCUUGGCAGUCUUUGGCCCAGAAUUUCAGACAGUGGCGAACAAGUGCUACAGUUUCUAAAUCGGCGGUAUCUAGUAUAUCGAGUCUCAAAGCUGACUGAAAAACCGACUCAAUUACCGUUUACCGGGAGGGUCUCAGGGAAACAAACACCGAACAGCUCAAACACGUGGCUUUUCAGAGAGCGUGGGAAAAGAAAGGGGGGUGGGGGAGGAAACUGCCAGGACUUAAGAUGUCUGCCGAAGACCCCCUGUAUCCGCCAGAGAGAGCGUACCCUCUUCCAAAAUGUCCUCCCGCAGUAUUGACGUCACACCGCCGGCCCCUUCUAAGCCAGAAAUUGAGAGUGCUCCAAUCAGGGCCCUAGCUCCGCCCUGCACGCGCGUCACUUCCGGUGGUGCAGCAGCCAUUUUGUCAGUCGCCAGCGGAUCCCGCGCGCUGCAGAAGUGCAGUUCCCCCUGGUUACCAGGUCGUCGGUUCUUCCUUCGCGCUGCGGGCGCCCUCGAAGAGCGCCCACCAAAGGCGUAGCCUUUUCUCCUUAAAGUGUUGCCGCCACUGUUGCACCUUUACUGAUCCAGAGCGCUGUCUGCCUUUUCCUACCACUGACAGGCGCCCUAAGGGCGCUGCCACCAGCGAUGUCAAGCGAGGAAAGCUAUCGGGCCAUCCUGCGCUAUUUGACGAACGAACGUGAGCCUUAUGCACCGGGCACUGAAGGCAAUGUCAAGCGUAAAAUCCGCAAGGCUGCCGCCUGCUACGUAGUGCGCGGCGGGACUCUCUACUACCAGCGGCGGCAGCGGCACCGCAAGACGUUUGCGGAGUUGGAAGUAGUGCUGCAGCCGGAGCGGCGCCAGGGCCUCAUAGAGGCGGCACACCUGGGCCCUGGAGGCACUCACCACACUCGGCAUCAGACCUGGCAUGACCUGUCCAAGACGUACUGGUGGCGAGGUGAGCGCUGGCCCCGGGCGAGGGGGCACCUGGGCGGCAGGUUUUGCGGGGCAUGGUCCGAGGAGAGGCCUGCGUGCGCACUCGCGAGCCUGAAGUCUGGGACCGCUGUGCCCUAGCCAGGUGGCGUUCGGCUGCGCGGCGGCCGCGGGACCGAGCCGAGCGGGUGGGGGACGUGAAAGCAGCCGCACUUCCCUACAGGAAGGAGGCCCGGGAGGCUGGGGGCGGACCCUCGCCCGGGGUGGGGCUUCGGGGGCUUCCCUCGGGGCCGGGCCAGCGGGCGGAGGGCGUGGCGCGGCCUAUCUGGGUCCGCCCCCUCAGGCCCCUGGGGGAUGGUGGGAGGCCUGGACGCAGAGGCAAACCUUCCGUCUCUCUUCCUUAUGCCUUUGAAGGCUGGCCCAAACCCUGGCAGCAGUCUCCAGUAUAUUAAAGCAAGUAAAAGAUUACAUAAAACAGUGUAGCAAAUGUCAGGAGAAACUUGAUCGCUCCCGUCCAAUAUCAGAUGCUUCAGAAAUGUUGGAAGAAUUGGGAUUGGACCUUGAAUCUGGAGAAGAAAGUAAUGAGUCAGAGGAUGAUCUGAGCAACUUUACUUCCCCUCCAACCACAGCCUCCAAGACUUCAAAAAAGAAGCCAGUAUCUAAACAUGAACUUGUAUUUGUUGACACCAAAGGAGUGGUAAAACGGUCUUCUCCAAAACAUUGCCAGGCAGUUCUGAAGCAGCUGAAUGAACAGAGACUUUCCAACCAGUUCUGUGAUGUCACAUUGUUAAUUGAAGGGGAGGAGUACAAAGCUCAUAAGUCUGUUCUCUCAGCUAAUAGUGAAUAUUUUCGAGAUCUUUUUAUUGAGAAAGGAGCAGUUUCUAGUCACGAGGCUGUCGUGGAUCUUUCUGGUUUCUGUAAAGCAAGCUUCCUUCCUUUGCUGGAAUUUGCCUAUACUUCAGUGCUAAGUUUUGACUUCUGUAGCAUGGCUGAUGUAGCUGUCUUAGCUCGCCACCUUUUCAUGUCAGAAGUUUUAGAAAUUUGUGAAAGUGUACAUAAACUAAUGGAAGAGAAGCAACUUACAGUGUAUAAGAAAGGUGAAGUUCAAACAGUCGCAUCUACUCAGGACUUAGCAGCACACAACGGAGCUGCAACACCACCCGGCCCUAGGAAUGAAGCCACCACGACUUUGUCAAGUGACCUUGGGCAUUGUGAAAUUGUACUGCUGGUAAAUGGAGAAGUGCCAGAAACAGAGCAGAAUGGGGAGCCAGGACAGCAGCCUGCACCUCAGGUUUCUGCAGAGGCCGAAGCCAGUGUGUCGCCCGCAGGAUGUAUACCCAAUCCCCCCACUGAAAUGGGAGCUGCAAGCUUAGCAACAGAAAGUAACCAGCCCGAGCUUGAGUCUGCAGUCGUCAGAGAAGACGGCGGUGUUGCUAGCGUUCCUCCUAAGAUCUCAGAAGAGAAUGUAAUCAACACGUCCCAAGAGGACAGUGAUAUAGGAAAUGAUACAUCACCUGAGGACACCUGUACCAAAGACUUUUCAGAUCAUAGUCAGAGCUCGGGCCAACCUUUAAAAGACGAGGAAACUCUAAUUGAAGCUACAGAAAAGACAGACUCCGGCCAGGAUGAUGAUACUUACAGGAGCAGGCUUAGGCAGCGGUCUGUAAAUGAAGGGGGCUACAUCCGGCUACACAAGGGCAUGGAGAAAAAGUUACAGAAACGGAAAGCCAUUUCUAAGUCAGCAGUUCAACAGGUGGCCCAGAAAUUAGUUCAAAGAGGGAAAAAGAUGAAACAACCCAAAAGGGAUGCUAAGGAGAGUGCCGAAGAAACGCCUCAUAAAUGUGGGGAGUGUGGGAUGGUGUUUCCAAGACGAUAUGCCUUUAUAAUGCAUACAUUGAAACAUGAGAGAGCGAGAGACUACAAAUGUCCGUUAUGUAAGAAGCAGUUUCAGUAUAGUGCCUCACUACGAGCACACCUUAUACGACAUACAAGAAAAGAUGCACCCACGUCAUCUUCAUCUAAUUCCACAUCUAACGAGGCAUCAGGAGCAUCAUCUGAGAAGGGACGAACCAAGAGAGAGUUUAUAUGUUCUAUCUGUGGAAGGACAUUGCCUAAACUGUACUCUCUCCGCAUACAUAUGCUAAAGCACACGGGUGUAAAGCCGCACGCAUGCCAGGUGUGUGGAAAAACUUUUAUCUAUAAGCAUGGUCUAAAAUUGCAUCAAAGUCUGCAUCAGUCCCAAAAGCAGUUUCAGUGUGAGCUAUGCGUCAAGUCCUUUGUCACCAAACGGAGUCUUCAGGAACACAUGAGUAUUCACACAGGAGAGUCCAAGUACUUUUGCUCAGUCUGUGGAAAGUCUUUUCACAGGGGCUCUGGACUUAGCAAGCACCUUAAGAAACACCAGCCAAAGCCUGAGGUUCGAGGCUAUCAUUGCACUCAGCUCCAUAUGGACCAAGUCUGGCAGUGCUUUCAACUCCUCAUCCUCUCAGCUUCCAAACUGUCAAGAGUCUUUCCUGGUAGUUCCUGUAAAAGUCCCGUGUUUCCCUCUGAUUGGAUCCAAUGUGAGAAAAGUUUCUUUGAAGCUAGAGACCUGCGCCAGCAUAUGAAUAAGCACCUCGGCGUGAAGCCGUUCCAGUGCCAGUUUUGUGAUAAGUGCUACAGCUGGAAGAAAGAUUGGUAUUCCCACGUGAAGUCCCAUUCUGUCACUGAGCCCUACAGGUGUAAUAUAUGUGGCAAAGAGUUUUAUGAAAAAGCUUUAUUCAGAAGACAUGUAAAGAAGGCCACCCAUGGGAAGAAAGGAAGAGCAAAGCAAAACCUGGAACGGGUGUGUGAUCAGUGUGGAAGGAAGUUCACUCAGCUGAGAGAGUACAGGAGACAUAUGAACAAUCAUGAAGGUGUUAAACCGUUUGAGUGCUUAACAUGUGGAGUAGCGUGGGCUGAUGCCCGAUCAUUAAAACGUCACGUCCGAACACAUACUGGUGAACGGCCCUAUGUGUGUCCUGUAUGUAGUGAAGCCUACAUAGAUGCUCGAACACUUCGUAAGCAUAUGACUAAAUUCCACAGAGACUAUGUGCCUUGCAAAAUUAUGCUUGAGAAAGACACUCUGCAGUUUCAUAACCAGGGAACGCAAGUGGAGCACGCUGUGAGCAUCCUAACUGCAGACAUGCAGGAACAGGAAAGCAGCGGGCCGCAAGAGCUUGAGACCGUGGUGGUGACGGGAGAGACUAUGGAAGUUCUUGAAGCUGUGGCAGCUACGGAGGAGUGUCCAUCGGUGUCGACCCUCUCUGACCAAAGCAUCAUGCAAGUGGUGAACUAUGUGCUGGCGCAGCAGCAAGGGCAGAAGCUGUCUGAAGUGGCAGAGGCCAUCCAGACUGUUGAAGUGGAGGUGGCACAUAUGCCAGAAGCGGAGUGAAGGCCGCCUGUGGGGCUCACAGAGGACGCACAUGUCUACAGUUCAUGUCGCCUCCACGCGGACCUCAGAUGGAGACCUCUGGCCUGUUGGUGACAUCACUUGUCUGGCCAGUGAGUUCUGCAGGAAAGUCCACUUUCUGUAAAGAAAUUGAAAACAAAAAUCUGUUGGAUGGAAGUAGUUGAUCAUGGGCUGCGGAGAGCUAGGGACAAGCGCACCCUAACCAAGAGCUCCAGGACUAACCUACACUCCAUAAUGAGUGUAGUCCUCAGCACAGAUGAGGGACGACAACAUACAGUAAGAGUCAGCUCUGAAACUACUACUGAGAGCUGGAGGAAUGAUCUCCGUUGUGGAAUUCUUAUCCAGAAUACCAGUUCGUGGGUUCAGUUCCCAGCACCGCAGCAAACAGAAAAUCUGUUGCAAAAGAAGUGACCUAAAACCCACAAGUAAGGUUAAAAACUAAUUUGGGGGGUUGGGGAUUUAGCUCAGCGGUAGAGCACUUGGCUAGCAAGCGCAAGGCCCUGGGUUUGGUCCCCAGCUCCGAAAAAAAAAAAAAAAACCAAAAAAAUAAAAAAAACCAAAAAAACCUAAUUUGGUGGUUUAUCGUGAGCAUUUGUAAAAAUGAAACAAAAAUCCAGAGAUAUGGCAAAGAGAAACGUACAGUGUCAAUGUUUUGUUGUUGCAGAUGUGUACGCAGGAUGGUGCACACCUUUAAACCCAGUACUCUGAGGUAGAGGUAGGUGGAUCUCUUCGAGGUCAAAUCCGGCCUAGUCCACAGAGCAAGCUCUAGGACAGCCAGGGUUGCACAGUGAGACUGUCUCAAAAAUAAAUAUAAUAAAAACGUGUGUGUGUGCACUUCAUCUGGACUGGUGACAGUAUCAGAUCUACUUAAGUUCUAGUAGUGACAGGCAGAGCUGCUGGGACUACAGACUUCGCGAUCGUGGAUAGAUUGUUAGAUUUUAAUUCUUUGUGGGCUCAUAUGGGCAGUAUGGAUUGGUGUGACCGUUUACUGUCUCCUCCCCUUGCUCUCCCUACAGCGCGCACCUUCCGAUGUUCUUCAUCCUCAUCUUCGCUUCUGGAGGCAUUUCUUCCGGCUCACUCUGCACAACACGGAAGUGGAAAUGAAUGCAUUUAAAUUAUUAAUUCACUUGGUUACUAAGGCUAAUUUUUUUUUAAUGUUUUAAUGCCAUAAAAGGAGUAAGGCAGUGAACUUUAACAAUUACUCUGUUUUAAUCUUGGGGUUGAGGGGCCUCAGUCAAUAAGCACGGGGACUUGAAUCCAAUCUCCAACUAUGCUAGAUACAGUGGAGGCUGCCUACAGUUCUGGUGCCUGGGAGGUGGAGAAGAAGGAUCCUAGGGCCUGCUGGCCAGCCUAUCUAACUGAAUCAUCGAGUUCACGCUAACAGGGCUCUGUCUUAAAAAAAGGGAGGAGAGGGAAGGGGAAGGGAAGGGAAAGAACAAGGUGGAGACUAGCUGAAAAGACACCCGAUACUGAGCUCUGGCCUUCAUACAUAUAUGCACACGUGCAUAGGCACCUGCCCUCAGAGCAUACACACACACACACCUAAGUCAGAGCUAUAUUUGGUAGGAUUAAGAGAAAAGUAACUCUCCUAUGCUAAUUAGUCAAAGAGACAUAUGAACUUCAUGUUCGCUGGCACUUUUCACACUGGCAAGACAUGGAUUCUGCCUACCCAUCUAUGAGUAAAUGGUUCAAGAAAAUGUCACAAUAUAUAUUCGUAACACAAAAAUUUAAAUUGUGUAUGUGGGGGUAUGGGGCUUGAGGUAGGUAGAGGUGCCCUGAGAGGACAGAAGCCACAGUCACAGCUGCCAGACAUGGGUGCUAGAACAUUAAGGUCCUAGGAGAAGAGAAAGAAUCCUUACCCACUGUGCCAUCUCUCCAGCCUCUUUUGCUAAAAUAUUUUAAAGCCGUAACAAAGAAUAAAGCAAAAGGCAAACAAAAUUUAAAGGGUCAGGUGUUAGUACACAGGAGGUGAAGGCAGAAGCUGGUAGAUUUUUGUGAGUUCCCGGUCAGCUACAGACAAAGAGUAGACUCACUCUUAAAACAAACAAAUUUCCUGAAGAUUAAGGUAAGACAAUGAAUCAUGGUGUACAGCUUUGAGCAACAAAGCUCUAGCCUAAGGCUGUGUGUAAUCAGGUAUAAUUCUCCAUUUGCAGAGAUGAACUAAUAGACACCGCAAAGGAGCACAUGAGAAGAAACAACCGCCAUGUUACCACAUCGCACAUGAAGCGCUACUACGUUAUAGCUGACAACAGCUCCCAUACAUACUUUGCCUACUUUCUAUGUUAUCAUUUCCUUCUGGACUUGUACAUCCCAGUUCCCUCAGUUGGGUAUGGAAGAAUGGUAGGAACAUCAGAAGUUCAAGACUGUCCUCAGCUAUCUAGUGAGUAACCGUCAACUAUUAGAGUCCCUGCUUCAAAGACAAGACAGACAAAAUGGUCAGAUGCAGUGUCCCACACCUUUAACCCCAGCUUGCCUAACAUACACAAUGCUCUAGCAAGGCUUGGUCCUCCACACCACGUAAAACUGGGUAUGGUGGGGUUGGGGAUUUAGCUCAGUGGUAGAGCGCUUGCCUAGCAAGCACAAGGCCCUGGGUUCGGUCCCCAGCUCCGAAAAAAAGAAAAGAAAAAAAACCAAAAAACAAAACAAAACAAAACAAAACAAACAAACAAAAAAAAAAAAACUGGGUAUGGCCAAGCAAGGUGGUAUAGCAUCUUUAGUCCUAACAUUUGGAGGGCAGAAGCAGGAGGAUCUAUGUGAGUUUGAGGCUAGCCUGGCCUACAGAGAGUUCUAGGACAGCCAGAGCCACACAGAAAAACCCUGACUCAAACACAAAGAAAGAAAGAAAGAAAGAAAGAAAGAAAGAAAGAAAGAAAGAAAGAAAGAAAGAAAGAAAGAAAGAAAGGACACUGAUCUAGUGGUGCAUAUUUGUGAUCCCAAUGCGUGAGGUGGAGGUAGAGGGUCUGAAAUGACAGCCAUCCUUAUCCUUAGCUACGUACCCCGCUCCAGGCCAGUCAGUUUGAGAUGUGUGAGACCAUGGGAAAUUGCACUCAUGAUCCUGAGUGUGGUAGGAUGUGGACACUAUAAGGGGCACAAGAGGACUGGGACAGACAGCAGAGCAGACCCUCGGAGCUCACUCUGACACUCAGGAGAGGAAGUCUAAUGGAGCCACUUGCUUGCACUGCUAUUCCUGCUACAGAUGCACUGCACAGCUGCUUUUUGUAGCAAGCAUAAGGUAAUCCCUCAAGACCAACUGUAAAGUUAUUGAGAGGAGCAAUACUAAAGGUCAAGAGUGAGGGGCUGGGGACAUACCUCAGCGGGUAAAGGUGCUUGCCACCAGCCAGCCAGCCUAUAUUCAAUCUGAGGGACCCACGGAGUUGACGAACUAAGUCCACAAGUUGUUUUCUGACCUCUCUAUAUUUGAACGAACAUGUGUAACAAGGUGCGCACACACAUACCCACAAAUGUUCAAAAGGAAAUUCAUUGAGCCAGGCAUGGUGGCAUAUGCAUUACUGACUCAUAUAAUUCCUAGUAUGUAUUAUAAGCAUUUGACUUGACUCAAGUUUCUUGAAAUUUUCUAUAAAAUCAGCAGUUUUUAUAAAAAUACAUUUGUAUCAAUAAACACAUUAAGUUUUUAGUUUUGGGUAUGUACCUCAGUGGUACAACAGUGGCCUGGCAUGAACAAGGCACUAUGCUCAGUACCUAGCACCACAAAAGAAGAAAUCCAAUUUUCUUGAGCAUUACAAAGAAAUUUUACCAAUACUAUUUUACUAUUAUCGAUUUAACUACCAUCAGUACAAACUCUAAUUUUCUAUUAAAUUUCUUUUUCUCUUUUAAAGUUUACUUUUAAUUAUGUAUGUAGGUACAAAUGUGUGUUGUGUUGGUCUUUGCAUGUGUGUGUAGGUGCCUGUGCAAGCCAAAGAACCUGGAUCUCUUGGAGGUGGACUUGGAAGUGUUUGAGAGCCACCUGAUGUGGGUAUCAGGAAUCAGGCUCUGGUCUUCUAGACCACCUGCUAUUGUCUUCUUGACAGGACUGGAAGUAAAACUAAGGGCUAACUGAUGGCUGGUACAUAGACAGCUUGCCGUGAAAGCCUGUUUGUCAGCCCUGAGACACUUCCACCCCGGACGGAAGGAAAGAGCUGCUUCCCAAGGUUGUCCUGGCUCCCACCUGCACACCAUGGCACACAUGCCUUCCACACACACAGUCUUUAAGAAUAAAAUAAAAUUGGCGUCGGCUUACAUCUUCAUCUUCAUUGAAAGCUGCUGCUACUGAAAGAGUUUUUGGAGCAAGAGUUGGAACUGUUUCCUUAGGCUUCUGAAGAAGAAACAUUUAACAGAAUUAUCACAAAUAAAACUUAUAUAGCCUUGUUUAUUAAAAUAAUAAUUGUUCUUACAAGGUUCAAUUUUACCCAAUUUUAUGUUUUUAUAAGCUUCCACAGUAAGGAACUCAGUAUUUUGGGCAAAUCCAUUAUACCUUUGAAAAUAAGAGUUACCAGCAGGAUCAUUUUACUUUAUUAAUUUCAUAUAGCCAAUAGCUUUUCUCUAUAAAAAAUCUCUCCUUAGGAUUUGAAGUUUACUAUCAGUUAAGCUAAGGGGUGCGCAUAGAAGAGAUGAAUGACUAGAAAUGCUAUCUGCCCACAGCGUGCUGCAUGGACCACAGUGCCUUAGAACGCAGGGAGCAUCCCGCUGACGUAGUCUUCCAGUUCCUUUCUACCUUGGCCUGCAAUCAGCUUCUUUCUCCUUCCUGGUCAAUCUCUGUACUUCUCACUGUCCCUUCCACUGCAACACACCCCAGGGUCACCAGUGAUUAAUGUUUUUAAGUACUCAAGCUUGAAAAUCUUUCCUUUGUCUUACAAGCGUCUCUUGCUCAGAUCCGUAUUGAGCACUCCUAUUUUUCCCCCUCUGUCCAUGAUACUAACCCACUACCUUCUUUCUCACCCUUAGCACCGCCCACUGGAACAACCAGUAGAAUUAGCAUAUGCCGAGUCUUUCUCCACAGCACGGGGCUAUGGAGCUCAGUGACAGAGAGACUGUCUAGCAUUUAUAACAAGUCCUUGGCUUCAGUUCCCAACACUGAAGGAGAGAGGAUCCCGCCAUUCACAGCCUUUACAUCUUUUUCAAACCAGUGAUGUUCCUAAGACGCCGAUGGACCUUAGUCCUGACGCUCCUUGUUAUACAUGCAGUCCUGAAGGAUCUGGUUCAAAGCCUCACUUUGAUUUUUAACUGAAGAGGCUUUUCCGAACCUAACUCAACCACUUAACAAUUAUUAAAUCCCAUCAAUUAUUUAGAAAAAGAAGGAACUGGACUCAGGAGUAUGCCCAAGCAGAUUAGAAUUAUAUGAGUGUAUGUUUAAUGUUUAAAAAAGCUAAAUAGGGUAUGAUCAAGAUACUGUAUAAACAUACAGUGUAUGUUUAAACUGUUAAAAGAGUAAAUAAAAAUAUUUUUAAGAAAUCAAGUAUUUAUGCAGUUAGGUCUACGUGAUUUUUAAACAUUACACAUCAAGAACCAGAGGAUAUAGAGAAAAAUGUUAAUGAAAUAAAAAUAUCAUUAAAUUUUUUGUUUCGACUCAGAUUUUCUUUUUAAAGAGGGGGAAAAGACUCCAGGUGGGAUCUGGGGUUCUGAGAAAUGGCUGCUCUUAUUCUUUAGAAAAAAGCUCAGACUCUAGAGAGAAUAUGAAAAUGAAAAUUUUUCAUUUUUAAAAAAAUCUCCGAAAUGAACAUCUACGGCAUAAAUAAAACCAUUUCCAUCUGACCUUUACGAAUUAAAAAAACUUUAAAAAACCAUAGAUAGAUAAUCAGAUAACCCUAACUAAGAUUAAUUUACUGCAUUAAUCCUUUAAGUUACAAAGAAAUGAUUUAUAGUUAUUACUAUGAUUUGGAGGUACAUAAUGCCAGGUCCUCUCCAAGGCCUCUCAAAUGCUAAACAUAUAUUCUAUAGCAGAGCUACAGCACAAUACAAAUUAUAACUUAAUAUACUAGUAGUAAAAGGUAUUUUAAAAUUCCCAAGUAUUUUUCAAAGAUUUUGUUCAAUUAAGAAAGGUUCUGGGCUGGAGGUUCUGGGCUCAGAGGUUAAACGCACUGACUGUUCUCCCAGAGGUCCUGAAUUCAAUUCCCAGCACCCACAUGGGGGCUCACAACCAUCUGUAAUGAGAUCUAGUGCCCUCUUCUGACCAACAGGCAUACAUGCAGGGAGAACACUGUAUACAUAAUAAAUCUUAAAAAUAAAAAAAAGGUUCUAAGUGAUUACUUUAUAAAUCAUGCAUUCUUUACAACCAACUGAUAGAAUUCAUAGGCCUUUCCUAACGUAUUCAUUACUUUUUGACUUACAAGUUCAUAUCCAGUUAGAGCAGUUUACCUUUACACACUUCACAUACACGCACGCACACACAGACACACACGCACUCGUGCAUAGACACACACACAUGCGUGCACAGACACACACACACACACACACACACACACACACACACACACACACACACACACACACACACACAGAAAAGCAGACUGAUGAAGCCAAUCUUUAAGGACCAUUACAAAAGCACACAUAGAACAACUCACACUUGCUCCGAGUCUAAUGGAGAUGGCGGAUGCUUUCCUUGCUGUCUGACUACCUAUGGCAAAUCCAAACUUGGACAUCUUUGUAGGCUUUGUUGGGAGGUCUGCAGCUUCGUCUUCAGCUGAUCGCUUUUCAGCGCUGCGACUGGAACUUUCCCCUCCAUUACUGGAAGAAACAGUCUUAGUUUUCACAGGUUUUUCUGCUUCUUCUUCAGGUCCUGGUGAAGUCGAAACAACUUACCAAGAUGAGCUAUUUUUACUGAGCAGAUUGAUGGGAGCAGCAACCUCACAAAGCAUCUUUACAAGGAAGAUACCUCUGCAGCUGUCACCUACUGACCCAACAGUCUCUUCACUGCUUGUUAGAGUGUACAGCAGGAACUGAGAUUGUGUGGCAGUACAAGAGGCUCCCAUGAAUUAACUAGCAUAAAAUACAGAGCAAUUUAAAAUUAUAAACACAGAGUUCACAGAGAGUUAAAAACCCGUCAGCUAAACAUUACCUUAUUAAUUAUACAUUAAUCUUGGUUACAUUUGUGGAAUUUUUGAUGUUCAGAAAUUGAAACCAACAAAUUAUUUUAUAUAAACUAACUUGUACAUAAUCAUGUGGCAAUACAAAACCUCUGGCUAAUAAAUUAUAAUAUUCUCAGUAAUGUAGUCCUAAUCAUACAAAACAUCUAGUCAUGCACAUGUCCACUGUUGGUUAAACUACACUGUGAAAUCAGUCUACAGCCUUUUCUUCCCUCCUUCACCAUACCGAAUACCCAGGGCUUUGCUUAUACAAGACAAAGCAUUCUACACUGAGCUACACCUCUGGCUAGUCAAUCCCUAGCUAAAUUAUGUUCCUAAGUGAUGUUACUCAAGCUACACCUUACAUAACCUAUGGAGUUGAAAAAACUUCAAGGUAAAUCUCUUGUGAGUUAACCCUAUUCUGAAAGCUGGUCUAACACCUGCUCUAAGCUACAUAUAAGAGUUAUUCAAACAAGAGUUAUUUCACUUACAUAUUUUCUCAUGAAUCAAGAAAGUACAGAGAUAUAUACAGAUGUAGAAAUCAAGAUGUCUUCAACAAUUUUGCUUGUAUGUGUUUAAGUCAAUAAUAACUUCAUGUCUUGAGUAUAUUAGGCUUGUUCAUAAAUAAGACUAUUUAAGAACAUAUUAGAAAGACCGAAAAGGGGCUGGAGAGAUGGCUCAACGGUUAAGAGCACUGACUGCUCUUCUAGAGGUCCUGAGUUCAAACCCUAGCAACCACAUGGUGGCUCACAAUCAUGAGAUCUGAUGCCCUCUUCUGGUGUGUCUGAAAACAGCUACAGUGUAUUUAUAUUUAAAAAAAAAAUUAAAAAAAAAAAAAAAAGAAAGACCAAACAGACUGGUCAAUCUUUUUUCUCUCCAGCUCUACCCUACAGGAUACAUUCUGAGACUCAAACUUACUGGUAGAGAAACGGAACAUGCUCUAAGUGACUGCCUUGGCAAGUUCAAUAACAAAAUGGGGCAAAGCUAGAAUGGAGGUCAAACAUGGUAACUGACAAGUAAAAGAAUCAAAAACUCAAGACUACACAUCUAGAUUCAUGCAGUUUGGUAAUGACACAUCUUUAGGUUAAUUAGUACUUUGUGGCAUGGAGGACUGAACACAGAGCCUUGUACAAACUAUUAAGUACUAUAAGUGACCUAUUUGCCCACGUAGCUUUCUCAUUUCCAGCUAUAUUGCCCAAGGCCAGGCAUCACUGUAACUUGCACACAUCUUGUUCCAUCUCCAGGGUACAUGGGCUUGUAUCACCAUGCUAAUUCGACAAGCACUUUGAAUAGAGUAUCUGAUUUGGUACAGAUUAAAUAAACAACUUUCAGGGCUGGUGAGAUGGCUCAGCGGUUAAGAGCACCGACUACUCUUCCAAAGGUCCUGAGUUCAAAUCCCAGUAACCACAUGGUGGCUCACAACCAUCUAUAAAUAAAGUAAAUAAAUUGAAAAAUAAAUAAAUAAAUAAACUACUUUCUUUGGAUUAGAGCUCCAGUUUGCAAGAGGCAAAGGUGGAACUGAGUAGUUUCCUGAGACGCCAUUCGUUUACUUAUAUGUAAGAGGAUCUGAAUUGAAAGAAUGAACGACUACUCUCCAGUAACUGAGAACCCAAUUUAAAACAGAAUUUCUUUUUUUUUUUUUUUUGGGUUCUUUUUUUCAGAGCUGGGGACCGAACCCAGGGCCUUGCGCUUCCUAGGUAAGCGCUCUACCACUGAGCUAAAUCCCCAGCCCCAAAACAGAAUUUCUUAAAUUGGUAGUGGGCCUAGACUUGUAAUCCCAGCAUUCAUGUGACGAGUCAGGAGCCUAGUCUGAGGCCACCGUGAACUAAAGGACAUGCUAGACAGCUCGGACUAGACUCGGACCUGUGCAUUUUAUUUGCACUCUUAAUCAAGUAUAUUUAAGCAGGAACUGGCAUCAACCAUUGUAUUCUGUACUCUUGUAUGAAGACAUAAAAAAAUUUGUCAGCAGAUGGCUCAGCAGGAAGAUAACUUUUACUCAUCUUCCAGAGGAUCCCAGUUAGAGCCCCAGCACCCACACAAGGCAGCUCACAAUUCCUGUAACUGCAGCUCUGGGAGAUCCAACUCUCAGGCCUUCCUGCACACCUGUGUUCAUGUGCACACACUCACACACAGACAUGUGAUUAAAAAUAAUUCUGUGUGCCUUUAAUCCCAGGCCUUGAGAGGCAGAGGCAGGAGGAUUUCCCUGAGUUCCAGAUUACCAAAAUCACACAGUGAAAUCCUGUCUCAAAAACAACAAAAUAAUUUUAAGCAAUCUUUAAUAAAAUAAUUUCAGGAAUGUAUAUAGAUAGCAUCUUCUGUUUGGAUAUGGAGAGCAGGGAGUGAAGAAGGUGAACACAGUAUAGACUCUCAUUUCUUAGUAUACACAGGUUCAAUGUGACACAUAGGUUGGCCGCUUUGUCUUCAUACAACUCUCUUAGCAAUUAUGUAGCAAAACACACAAAGCAUUUAGGAAAAAAGCAAAUAAAACAAUGGACUAAAAUGGGAAAACAGCAGACAAAUAUAUUUUUUACUACUGAUUGCUAUUAAAAUAUUUGUAAUUCUAAACAUGGAUCAUUAGAAAAUUAUCUCAAACAAAUAUGAGUGUUGAAGUCUAUCACUGAAUAUUAACAUUUAAUUCAUAAGUACAAAAUGUUCUUUAAAUGCAAACUAAUUUAGCAUUUGGAACAUUUAAUCAAGGAUCUCUACUUUCAAUUUAUUGAGACAUUUUGUUUGUGUUUGUUUUGUGAGACUGAGUAUCACUGUGUAACCCUGACUGGUCUGAAAUUCACUAUGUAAUUAAUGUAGUUCAAGUACUUCAAACCUCUACUUUGCACUCCAGAGGGAUACUCCUGCUCCCUGCAUCCCAACUGCUGGAAUUCAGCACUUAGUUUAUUAAGACAUUUUGUAUUUUAAAACUAUGGAAAACAAAUGUUGAAUGACUACUGAUUAAUACUGUGAAUAUCUUUAGUAGUGUGAAUUAUAAUGAAUAAAUGAACAAGCAUUCUUAAAUGAGAAAAUCCCUUUUGUUUUUUGUAAAAAAAUAUUUUUAUUUUAUAUGCAAUGUUGUUUGCCUGCAUGCAUGUUUGUAUGGACGUGUCAGAUCUUGAAGUUACAGGUAGUUGUAAGCUACCAUAUAGGUGCUGAAAAUUGAACCCAGGUCCUCUGGAAGGGCAUUCGCUGCUCUUAACCACUGAGCCAUCUCUCCAGCCUCAGCCCUUUCAGUUUGUAAGUCAUCAUUACACAAAUUGCUAGCUUUUAGAUGAGAGAAUAUUUUAGUGAAGACUUCUGUCUACUUUGUAUUCCUUCUAAGUAAACAAAUCAUGUAAGUUAAUAUCAAUUAAACCAUACAUACUACAAUUUUUCUUUUUCACUGACUAGCUAAGAUGAGACAAUUCCACAAAGGUACCAUUCAUGAGCCAUGUGCACUCUGGUAGCUUAUCUGGAGGAAAACCAAACCAAAAAAACCAAACACCAAAACAAAACAAAACAAAAAACAAAACAAAACAAAGCAAGGACUCAAGUAGCUCUCUGACAGGACAGGUAGUCCAUGAGCUGUUUUGACACAGGAAGUAUACACAUCAUUGAAGUAGCUCUUGGCAUAACCACUGAUGGCUUGAAAUAGAUAUGAUUACACAUUAAGUUGCUUGUCUCUCUAAAUUUCUACUCAAGUUAAAGAGCUACAUAACCUUAACCAAAAAAUAUCUACAAAGUCUCCCCAAGUAGACUGAAGAGAAAGGUGGUUCAAGAUGGCUCUCCAGUAGAGAACACGUUAAGUUUAACAUGGGGAUAGUAUAUUUACUAAAACAGAGCACAGGAGAGAGGUUCAUCCUCAGCAUAAACGAGGCCUUGGGCUCUCUCUCUAGCAUCCAUAACAAGAUUAAAUGGGUAGGAAAACUAUUCAUAUUUCCAACACUGUGAGCUGUGUCACAGAAGAAAAACUGCCAAUGCUACACAAAGUUUUCCAAGAGAGCUGAAUACUUGCUUCAGGCUCAUCAAUUCAAUUCUAUCUAUGGGUGAAAUGUUUCAGUUAUGAAUCCUCUGCACAAUCCCAUUAUGCCUGACAUUAAAGUGAGCUAUGCGAAAUGAGGCAAAUUAUGUAGAAAGGACUGCUAUUUUGAGUUACCAGCAUAAAAUAACCUACACAACCCCUAACACUGUUAAAAUGGAAAUAUUAUUCACAGGACAGAAUGUCCCUCAACUGAAAGGGUGGCAAGCACAUUACACACGGAUUUGGACACUUAAGGUACAUUUUAGCAGUGCUGUAGAACAAUUUUCUCAGUCAAGUCAAAAGGAGCUUAAAUUCAAGGCCACCCAAGACACUUUAGGCUAUAGGUCUUCCUCAAACUACUUUUAAUCCUAAUGGACAAGGUCUAAAGUAAGAAUUAAAAUACUUUCAUUUGCUAUUUUACUAAUUUAAAAAACAAAAUGAGGAAGAGACCUGACAAAGUGGCCAUGGCCUGUAAUCCCAGUACUCAGGAUGGGGGCGGGGGUUUUGGGCAAUUAACAAACUUGGUAGAGCCACCUUUUGCCUUUACGCGAUACUGGGUCUACAUGUUCUCGCAUUUAAGUAUCUCAGGGACAAGACCGAAGAAAGCUAGAACAGUGAAAGGCUAAAACAUUCUAAACAAGACAUUAUUUAUUAUCCGCUCACGUGUGUUAAUUAUCCUUAUGACAAAAGGGCGUAGGGGAAAAGAGACUACGUAUUUCUUUCCCUUUAUGCACACCAUCAAAAAUUACGGUGGUAGGAGGAAUGAAAAGAUAGCUAUACUCUGAGUUUAAUUUCAGGACAAAUUACAGGAAGAUCGCACCUGCCACCUUAUUAUCUGACAUAGACUCUGCUGUUAGCAGCCUAAGAAGAAUACUGUAAAGAAAGCGAAUCAAACCCUAAUUUCAAGCUUUUGCUGCUUGAGCCAGAUCACCUUUCCUCCCUGCAUCGUCUCGACUUACGCCAUCGCAGGGUUUAUAAAUGUUAUGUCUGAAUAUACAGCAAAGAGUGGGCUGGGGUCUUCCACCUCCUCAGCGAAAUGAGAGCAUCAAAGCUAAUUACGUGUGACCGAGAGGCCGGCGCCUUCGGAAAGCCGGCAUGCGGCCAGUGCCCGCGGCGGCGGCUCGGCGCUCGCACGGGGGCCUGAGUGCGCGGCGGGCCCUGAGCUCUCUGCUGUUUGGGCUCCCAGCCCAAGCUCCAUCUCCCACCUCCCUUCUCAAGGCCCGGUGGUAACUGGCGGGCUCUCUGAGGAGACGAUACGGACCUCGAUCCCCCGCGGGCCACACCGGGCGUGCCCGGUACUCACCAGGGCCCAGCCCCUGGCCGGGCGAGCGCCAGCUCCGCCCGUUCCUGAGAUGCCGUAAAGCCCCCCCACCCCGGGAAACCCCAAGAAAGGCCGGAGUAGCCCCCGCAGCCCGCGACGCUGGGGUUGUUUUCACCUCCGGCGGCUCCGGCUCGCUGCGGCUUCUCGGGCUUCUCCUCUCCCGCCUUCCCGUCCGCCAUCUUCCCCGCCGCGGCCUCCCCCUUGCAGUCCGGGCAAGAACGUCACGGCCCCGCCCAGCAACCACAAAGCUUCGGGCGGGCCAGCGAGGAUGCAGCCUAGAGCGGUCCUGGAACGGGAGCCAGAAGCGGAAGUGACGUCAUUGGCUUGCUGCGGCAUGAACCGGGUGUCGGGUGACCGCCUCAGAGGGCUGAGUCGUGGGAUGGUACGUCCGGGUUAGUACGAACUUAGUGACGCUGGUACAGUUGGUGGAAUUCCAGGUUUUUACAUGCUCAGGGGUGGUCGCGGCUGGCCCUUCGUUCUAUGGGAUGGAGCUGUGUUCUUACGGAGAAACUUCAGCAGUUAUCGGACGCCGUCUAGUGUUGACACCGUUCAUGAACUAUCGUUUAAUCUCCAGUACAAUCCAAUGUGAAAUUAUCAUUUUCAUUUGUGUAAUGACACCGAAACGCAAUUUAUGGAAGAUCACGUACGGAAUUGUGGCGGAAAAAUUUCCGCGAUUUUUGCAUUCGUGAAAACUUCAGCGUGAGAGUUGUAGCAAGCAAGCAAACGUUAUUAAAAUCAGAAAUAGUUAUA